rnacentral:rRNA from 1 species
GACGAACGCUGGCGGCGUGCCUAAUACAUGCAAGUAGAACGCUGAAGGAGGAGCUUGCUUCUCUGGAUGAGUUGCGAACGGGUGAGUAACGCGUAGGUAACCUGCCUGGUAGCGGGGGAUAACUAUUGGAAACGAUAGCUAAUACCGCAUAAUAGCAGUUGUUGCAUGAUAACUGUUUGAAAGGUGCAAUUGCACCACUACCAGAUGGACCUGCGUUGUAUUAGCUAGUUGGUGGGGUAACGGCUCACCAAGGCGACGAUACAUAGCCGACCUGAGAGGGGGAUCGGCCACACUGGGACUGAGACACGGCCCAGACUCCUACGGGAGGCAGCAGUAGGGAAUCUUCGGCAAUGGACGGAAGUCUGACCGAGCAACGCCGCGUGAGUGAAGAAGGUUUUCGGAUCGUAAAGCUCUGUUGUAAGAGAAGAACGAGUGUGAGAGUGGAAAGUUCACACUGUGACGGUAUCUCACCAGAAAGGGACGGCUAACUACGUG